rnacentral:tRNA from 1 species
GGAAGCAUAGCUCAGCUGGUUCAGAGCAUCUGUUUUACACACAGAGGGUCCGCGGUUCGAAUCCGUGUGCUUCCACCC